rnacentral:rRNA from 1 species
UACGAAGGGGGCUAGCGUUGUUCGGAAUCACUGGGCGUAAAGGGCGCGUAGGCGGCUGUUCAAGUCGGGGGUGAAAUCCCGUGGCUCAACCACGGAAUGGCCUUCGAUACUGGACGGCUCGAGACCGGAAGAGGUAAGUGGAACUGCGAGUGUAGAGGUGAAAUUCGUAGAUAUUCGCAAGAACACCAGUGGCGAAGGCGGCUCACUGGUCCGGUUCUGACGCUGAGGCGCGAAAGCGUGGGGAGCAAACAGG